rnacentral:rRNA from 1 species
AUGCGGACUAUGGCAGCACAAUUCUACGCUCAUCUGUUUGCUACAGAGGGAUCAACAAAUGGUGAAAGAGUACUGCAACAUAUUGAAAAGGCCGUAAAUGAUGAAAUGAAUGCGAAGCUUGUAGCACCAUUCACAGAUGAGGAGAUUGAAGCGGCCCUCUUCCAAAUGGGACCCACGAAGGCUCCUGGUCCGGAUGGGCUACCAGCUAUGUUCUACCAACGGCACUGGCAGUUGGUUAAGAACGAUGUUUGUGCUGCGGUUCGGGAGUUUUUGGCAGGACGGGAGGCUCCUAAUGGCUUUAAUGAUACGGUCAUCGUAAUGAUACCAAAAGUAAACUCACCGAAGUUGCUUUCACAAUUUCGCCCAAUUAGUCUCUGUAAUGUCUUAUACAAAGUGGCGGCAAAGGCACUGGCCAACCGUCUUAAACUUGUUCUUCCUUUUUUGAUAGCUAACGAACAGAGCGCGUUUGUGCCAGGUCGCCUGAUUACGGAUAAUGUUCUGGUAGCCUACGAGUGUGUACACGCAAUCAGAAAGAGGAAAAGGAAAAAGCCUAUGUGCGCGGUGAAGUUGGACAUGAUGAAGGCUUACGAUAGAGUGGAAUGGGAUUUCCUGGAGAAGAUGCUGCUGAAAAUCGGCUUCUCUUGUCACUGGACAGAGAUGGUUAUGAGAUGUGUAAGAUCAGCAAGUUUCUCCGUCAAGUUGAAUGGCGGCCUCUCUCAUAGGUUUGACCCGACAAGAGGGCUAAGGCAGGGUGAUCCCCUCUCGCCGUACCUAUUUUUAUUCUGCGUAGAGGGAUUCUCGGCGCUCUUGAACCAUGCACAGAAAGAAAAGAACAUAAAGGGGCUGGGUUUUGGGAGCACCGGGCCAACAGUGACUCAUCUUCUCUUUGCGGACGAUAGUGUGGUCUUUGUUGAAGGAUCACGGCAGAACUUUGAAGCCCUUCGCUCUGUUUUACAGGAGUAUGAGGCUGCAUCGGGUCAAAGAGUUAACCUCCAGAAAUCUGCGAUAUUUUUUGGGAGAGGUACCUCUGAAGAAAGCAAGGAGGAGCUCAAGCAAGUGCUUGGGGUGGCGGAGGAGGCGUUGAGUGAAAGAUAUCUUGGGUUACCUACGGUGGUGGGGAGAUCAAAAGAUGGCACUUUCAAAUAUGUCAAGGAGUGUGCAAAGGGGAAAGUCUCGGGGUGGAAGGGGCAAGGACUCUCCAAAACUGCGAGGGAAGUACUUGUCAAAUCCGGGCUGCAAUCUACACCAACUUUUACCAUGAGCUGCUUCCAACUCACAAAGAAAAUGUGCGGGAAUCUGUCAACUAUAUCUUCGAACUUCUGGUGGGGGGAGGCAAAUGGUAAAAAGAAUGUGCAUUGGAUAGCUUGGGACAAAAUGUGUACUAGAAAGCGAGAAGGGGGGAUGGGUUUUAGGGACCCCGAGGCGUUUAAUCAAGCUAUGUUGGCUAAGCAAGCGUGGAGAUUAUAUCAGGAGCCAAACUCGCUGCGUGUGAGAGUGUUGAAGGCUAGAUAUUAUGUGGACGGAAGUGUGCUCAAUGCAACUUGCCCAGCUGGAGGCUCUUAUACCUUCAGGAGCAUAUUACACGGGCGAGAUCUACUGCUAGAUGGCUUGAUAUGGAGGAUCGGCGAUGGCUCGAAGAUUAAGAUACACAUGACAACUGGAUACCUAGGGAUGGAUGCUUGA